rnacentral:rRNA from 1 species
CCUACGGGGGGCAGCAGUGGGGAAUAUUGGACAAUGGGCGAAAGCCUGAUCCAGCCAUGCCGCGUGUGUGAAGAAGGCCUUCGGGUUGUAAAGCACUUUUAGUGGGGAAGAAAGCCUUGGGGCUAAUACCCUCGAGGAAGGACAUCACCCACAGAAGAAGCACCGGCUAACUCCGUGCCAGCAGCCGCGGUAAUACGGAGGGUGCGAGCGUUAAUCGGAAUUACUGGGCGUAAAGCGCGCGUAGGCGGUCUGAUAAGCCGGUUGUGAAAGCCCCGGGCUCAACCUGGGAACGGCAUCCGGAACUGUCAGGCUAGAGUGAAGGAGAGGAAGGUAGAAUUCCCGGUGUAGCGGUGAAAUGCGUAGAGAUCGGGAGGAAUACCAGUGGCGAAGGCGGCCUUCUGGACUGACACUGACGCUGAGGUGCGAAAGCGUGGGUAGCAAACAGGAUUAGAUACCCCGGUAGUC